rnacentral:rRNA from 1 species
CAGUCGAACGAAGCACCUUGGACAGAAUCCUUCGGGAGGAAGACCAUUGUGCACUUAGUGGCGGACGGGUGAGUAACGCGUGGGUAACCUGCCUUGUACAGGGGGAUAACAGUUGGAAACGACUGCUAAUACCGCAUAAGCGCACAGUACCGCAUGGUACGGUGUGAAAAACUCCGGUGGUACAAGAUGGACCCGCGUCUGAUUAGCUGGUUGGUGAGGUAACGGCCCACCAAGGCAACGAUCAGUAGCCGACUUGAGAGAGUGAUCGGCCACAUUGGGACUGAGACACGGCCCAAACUCCUACGGGAGGCAGCAGUAGGGAAUAUUGCACAAUGGGGGAAACCCUGAUGCAGCGACGCCGCGUGAAGGAAGAAGUAUUUCGGUAUGUAAACUUCUAUCAGCAAGGAAGAAAAUGACGGUACUUGACUAAGAAGCCCCGGCUAAAUACGUGCCAGCAGCCGCGGUAAUACGUAUGGGGCAAGCGUUAUCCGGAUUUACUGGGUGUAAAGGGAGCGUAGGCGGCAUGGCAAGUCAGAAGUGAAAGCCUGGGGCUCAACCCCGGAAUUGCUUUUGAAACUGUCAGGCUAGAGUGUCGGAGGGGUAAGCGGAAUUCCUAGUGUAGCGGUGAAAUGCGUAGAUAUUAGGAGGAACACCGGUGGCGAAGGCGGCUUACUGGACGAUUACUGAUGCUGAGGCUCGAAAGCGUGGGGAGCAAACAGGAUUAGAUACCCUGGUAG